rnacentral:rRNA from 1 species
AUUGAACGCUGGCGGCAGGCCUAACACAUGCAAGUCGAACGAGUGGCGGACGGGUGAGUAAUGUCUGGGAAACUGCCCGAUGGAGGGGGAUAACUACUGGAAAAGGUAGCUAAUACCGCAUACCAUCGGAUGUGCCCAGAUGGGAGUAGCUAGUAGGUGGGGUAACGGCUCACCUAGGCGACGAUCCCUAGCUGGUCUGCGAGGAUGACCAGCCACACUGGAACUGAGACACGGUCCAGACUCCUACGGGAGGCAGCAGUGGGGAAUAUUGCACAAUGGGCGCAAGCCUGAUGCAGCCAUGCCGCGUGUAGGAAGAAGGCCUUCGGGUUGUAAAGUACUUUCAGCGAGGAGGCGGUACUCGCAGAAGAAGCACCGGCUAACUCCGGGCCAGCAGCCGCGGUAAUAC